UGCUGGGGUCCUCAGUCCUGCCUGCGGUCAGUGCCAUUGCUCUCACUGCAGAGCUCAUCCUCAAGGCAGAAAAAGGCCGCCGCACUCUGACAGACCUGCGCUUGGUGGUCUUGCCCUGUCAGAUCCUCCUCCUUGUCUGCUGGCUUGUCUUGCUGAUGUGUGUGGACUAUAAGGUGGAGAAACUCAUGUGAGUAGAGUUUUUACACAAUAAAAAUGUCUUCACUUUAUAGUGUUUAUAAGCGAUCAAUUUUGUUUCUAAAAAAGUAGUUAUUUAAACACUGUACCUGUAUCUAAGUUAGUUUUAAUGACACUGUUAUUGCAUAAGACACCUGCAAUUGGAACACAUUU